UCCGCGCAGGAAGCGCACGUCUGGUGGCCGC
rnacentral:piRNA from 1 species